rnacentral:rRNA from 1 species
GACGAACGCUGGCGGCGUGCUUAACACAUGCAAGUCGAACGGUAAGGCCCUUCGGGGUACACGAGUGGCGAACGGGUGAGUAACACGUGGGUGAUCUGCCCUGCACUUCGGGAUAAGCCUGGGAAACUGGGUCUAAUACCGGAUAGGACUCCUGGCUUCAUGGUUGGGGGUGGAAAGCUUUUGCGGUGUGGGAUGGGCCCGCGGCCUAUCAGCUUGUUGGUGGGGUUAUGGCCUACCAAGGCGACGACGGGUAGCCGGCCUGAGAGGGUGACCGGCCACACUGGGACUGAGAUACGGCCCAGACUCCUACGGGAGGCAGCAGUGGGGAAUAUUGCACAAUGGGCGCAAGUCUGAUGCAGCGACGCCGCGUGAGGGAUGACGGCCUUCGGGUUGUAAACCUCUUUCAGCACCGACGAAGUGCAAGUGACGGUAGGUGCAGAAGAAGGACCGGCCAACUACGUGCCAGCCGCCGCGGUAA